UGCUUUACUUUUCGAGAUGAAUGAUCCCUAUGGAGGGAGAACCUGGAUUUGUAAAGUUGGGACGGUUGUUUUAUUCUCAAUGAUAUGAAAUGUGUUGCCACUCCCAUUUAUUGCACAUUUUCCCCGAAAUCAUAAUGUACGAUCCGUAAAUAUGCAGGCAAAAGAGGGUGCCUACUAUAUUAGUUGAGCCAAUAGCGCGGCAAGAUACUGACAUGGGAUUAUUACUAUCCAAUCAGAUGUAGCUUAUUUAGAACAGCUGUUACACGAAUGAUUUAGCUAUCAGACACGAGCACCAGCAGCGCAUUGAUCGUCAAUGACAUUCUUUGUGUGAUUAUACCAGGUAUAAUCUCGAUAGCAAGUGAAGUGAUACCGUGCUUCACUAGCCACCAAGUCCCUGUCUUGGAUAUGGAGAAGGAGAGACUCGUCCCUUUUCCCUUUGGCGGCGAGUAGCAAUUUCCCGGCAUGGAGUGUUUCCGUCCUUGAUGUUAAUGAGGCCGUAAUAGGAAGAGUUAAUUUUUGCAUGUUUUUAUUAUAUUAGUUAAUUCAUUGUGUAGCAAUAUUAAGUUUAACUCAAAUCUAAACUCCCUGAAGUCAUGUCUUUUUUCUAUCUAUCCUUCUUUCUAGAUUUCUUUCUAACCUUUUCUUUUUUUUUUUUUUUUCUUAUCUAUUUCUUUUUUUCUUUCUACCUGUCUAUUGAACUUUAUUGCCUUAACUUUCGGGCUAGGCUUUAAGCCAACUUAAAAGUUUGCCAAAACAUUUCAUGUAGUUUUUUGUACUAAUCUCAUGUUGUUACUGCAACUACACUGCACAUAUCUGUAUGUGUUGUUCAUACUGUAUAUCUAUUCUGCUCUUAUAUUUAAUUUAUAUUACUGUAAAUACUACUUUCUUAACUGUAUUACUGUCCAUUCUGCACUGUACAGGUCAAAAGUUUAGAAAACAUUACAAUUUUUUAUGUUUUUGAAAUAAGUCUCUUCUACUCAAGCCUGAAUAAAUGAGUAUAUAUAUAUAUAUAUAUAUAUACACACAUUUAUUCAGGCUGUCUAAUAUAUUUGAUGAAUAAAAGACUAAAAAGAAAAAAAAAUCUAAUAAUAUAAAUCUUAUUUACUAACACUUUUUAUCAAUUUAACAUAUCCUUGCUGAAUAAAAGUAUUGAUUUAAUUUAAAAAAAAAAAAAAAAAAAAGACUGUCCAGUAGUGUAUAUUGUUGUUACAAAAUAUUUGUAUUUUAAAAACAUAGCUGCUGCUGCUUUUUUUGUUCUGUUUUACUUUUUAUUCAUCAAAGUAUCCUAAAAAAGUAACACAUGUUCUGAAAAAAUAUUAAGCAGCAGAACUGUUUCCAACUUUGAUAAUGAAUCAUCAUAUUAGAAUGAUUUCUAAAGGAUUGUGUGAUAAUGAUCCUAAAAAUUCAGCUUUGCAUCACAAAAAUAAAUGAUAAUUUAAAGUAUAAUAAAUUGAAAAUCAAUUAUUUAAUGAAUUAUUUAAUUAUUUUAAUUGUAAUAAUAUAAUCACAAUAUUACAU